rnacentral:rRNA from 1 species
GUGGGGAAUCUUGCGCAAUGGGCGAAAGCCUGACGCAGCCAUGCCGCGUGAAUGAUGAAGGUCUUAGGAUUGUAAAAUUCUUUCACCGGGGACGAUAAUGACGGUACCCGGAGAAGAAGCCCCGGCUAACUUCGUUCCAGCAGCCGCGGUAAUACGAAGGGGGCUAGCGUUGCUCGGAAUUACUGGGCGUAAAGGGCGCGUAGGCGGACAGUUUAGUCAGAGGUGAAAGCCCAGGGCUCAACCUUGGAAUUGCCUUUGAGACUGGCUGUCUUGAGUACGGGAGAGGUGAGUGGAACGCCGAGUGUAGAGGUGAAAUUCGUAGAUAUUCGGAAGAACACCAGUGGCGAAGGCGACUCACUGGCCCGUUACUGACGCUGAGGCGCGAAAGCGUGGGGAGCAAACAGGAUUAGAAACCCGGGUAGUCC